ACUAUUGGUCAAUGGGGGUGACCCUGCUCCAGCCAUGCCUCGUGUGUGAAGAAGGACGUCGGUUUGUAAAGCACUUUAAGUAGGGAGGAAGGGCAAUAGGUUAAUACCCUGAAGUUUGCACGUUACCAACAGAUUAAGCACCGUCCAACUCAGUGCGUGCCGCCGCGGUAAUACAGAGGGUGCAAGCGUUAAUCGGAAUUACUGGGCGUACAGCGCGCGUAGGUGGUUCAGUAAGAUGGGUGUGAAAUCCCCGGGCUUAACCUGGGAACUGCUUUCAUAACUGCUGAGCUAGAGUACGGUAGAGGGUAGUGGAAUUUCCUGUGUAGCGGUGAAAUGCGUAGAUAUAGGAAGGAACACCAGUGGCGAAGGCGACUACCUGGACUGAUACUGACACUGAGGUGCGAAAGCGUGGGGAGCAAACA
rnacentral:rRNA from 1 species